rnacentral:rRNA from 1 species
GUGGGGAAUAUUGGACAAUGGGCGAAAGCCUGAUCCAGCCAUGCCGCGUGUGUGAAGAAGGUCUUCGGAUUGUAAAGCACUUUAAGUUGGGAGGAAGGGCAGUAAGUUAAUACCUUGCUGUUUUGACGUUACCGACAGAAUAAGCACCGGCUAACUUCGUGCCAGCAGCCGCGGUAAUACGAAGGGUGCAAGCGUUAAUCGGAAUUACUGGGCGUAAAGCGCGCGUAGGUGGUUUUGUAAGUUGGAGGUGAAAUCCCCGGGCUCAACCUGGGAACUGCCUACAAAACUGCAUGACUAGAGUACGGUAGAGGGUAGUGGAAUUUCCUGUGUAGCGGUGAAAUGCGUAGAUAUAGGAAGGAACACCAGUGGCGAAGGCGACUACCUGGACUGAUACUGACACUGAGGUGCGAAAGCGUGGGGAGCAAACAGGAUUAGAAACCCGUGUAGUCC